rnacentral:rRNA from 1 species
GAGUAACACGUGAGCAACCUGCCUUUAAGAGGGGGAUAACGUUUGGAAACGAACGCUAAUACCGCAUAACAUAGAAGAUUCGCAUGUUUCUUCUAUCAAAGAUUUAUCGCUUAAAGAUGGGCUCGCGUCUGAUUAGCUGGUUGGUGAGGUAACGGCUCACCAAGGCGACGAUCAGUAGCCGUACUGAGAGGUAGAACGGCCACAUUGGGACUGAGACACGGCCCAGACUCCUACGGGAGGCAGCAGUGGGGAAUAUUGCACAAUGGAGGGAACUCUGAUGCAGCGAUGCCGCGUGAGGGAAGAAGGUUUUAGGAUUGUAAACCUCUGUCUUCAGGGACGAUAAUGACGGUACCUGAGGAGGAAGCUCCGGCUAACUACGUGCCAGCAGCCGCGGUAAUACGUAGGGAGCGAGCGUUGUCCGGAAUUACUGGGUGUAAAGGGAGCGUAGGCGGGAUCUUAAGUCAGGUGUGAAAACUAUGGGCUCAACCCAUAGACUGCACUUGAAACUGAAGUUCUUGAGUGAAGUAGAGGCAGGCGGAAUUCCUAGUGUAGCGGUGAAAUGCGUAGAUAUUAGGAGGAACAUCAGUGGCGAAGGCGGCCUGCUGGGCUUUUACUGACGCUGAGGCUCGAAAGCGUGGGGAGCAAACAGGAU